GACGAACGCUGGCGGCGUGCUUAACACAUGCAAGUCGAACGGAAAGGCCCUGCUUUUGUGGGGUGCUCGAGUGGCGAACGGGUGAGUAACGCGUGAGUAACCUGCCCUUGACUUUGGGAUAACUUCAGGAAACUGGGGCUAAUACCGGAUAGGAGCUCCUGCUGCAUGGUGGGGGUUGGAAAGUUUCGGCGGUUGGGGAUGGACUCGCGGCUUAUCAGCUUGUUGGUGAGGUAGUGGCUUACCAAGGCUUUGACGGGUAGCCGGCCUGAGAGGGUGACCGGCCACAUUGGGACUGAGAUACGGCCCAGACUCCUACGGGAGGCAGCAGUGGGGAAUAUUGCACAAUGGGCGGAAGCCUGAUGCAGCAACGCCGCGUGCGGGAUGACGGCCUUCGGGUUGUAAACCGCUUUCGCCUGUGACGAAGCGUGAGUGACGGUAAUGGGUAAAGAAGCACCGGCUAACUACGUG
rnacentral:rRNA from 1 species